rnacentral:lncRNA from 1 species
UUCUAUAUGCUCAGGAGAAAAUAUAGUUUAUUUGGAUAUUUUCAUAUCGAUUUAUGGAAUGUUAGAUGAUUUUAUAAUCGAUUUACGGAUUUAAUUGCGUAUAUUUAUAUUUAUUUAUUAAUUAUUUGACUUCCGUAAAACCGUCCACUCGUAACGAGGUAGCAAAUUUUCUUCCCGGAAGUUUCAACAAAACUCACCUUUAGCCUAAUUUGAAUAUUCCGGACACUUUUCGUGUUUUGACUUUUUCGAUCCGGAGUACGGUUUUCCCCGGAGUCGGUCCGGCGGAGUUUUUCGGGUAUUGUAAUUGUUGAUAAUUAUCCAGUUUGUCUCGAUAAACGUGAAACGAGAUAUUUUAUUCAUCUUUAUCUUGUCAUAAUUGCAAUGGGACCCGCAGACCAAUAAUUGAGUUAAAAAGCCCCGUUUUGAUGAUUAUCUCGAAAACCAGUACCGAUUGGACCCUGCUUUAUUAAUAUAAAGCUAUUAAGUACGUAUUUUCAUGUCAUAAACGAUCCAAAGGGGUACCAAUUAUUUGUAAAUAUAAAUAGACCUUUCUAGAGCUUAUUUUCACCGUAGAAAUCACUUCACCAGUUUCUCUGCACGAAUACCGAGAGAAACCGAGCUGCGUUCUUCGUGUUCUUCAUAAUCAAACGAAGAUUUGAAGGUGUUAUUGAAGUCAGAAUCAAGCGUGCAAAUAGUCAAAUCGAAGAUAUCGAAGAGUAGAACCCAAAUCAAUCAUCAAAAACAACAUGAGAUUCACAGGUAGGGAGUAAUUGAAGCUUUAAAAUUCGAAUUAUUAUGAUUUAAAUAGUGAAUUUUUACAAACGUGGUUAUUUGAUUGUUUUGAUGAUUCCAUGUUGUAGUACGUGCUUUUCUCGUCGUUUUGGUAUAUUAUAUGUUGAAUUUGGAGUUCGGAAUCAUAUAGAAAGAGGGGUUUGAUUAUUUAGUGGUGUUCUUGAAGGAUAUGAAUGUUUUUAAUCGAAUUUGGGCGUUUCUUUGUUAUUGAUUCUGGGCUGUUCNGAGCAAUCGGUUGAUAUGGUUAGAUAGAGCGUGAAGAGAGGAACUUGUGGGUAUGUUCAAAAGUUAUGUGGGAUUCCAGGAAAGGGGUCACCGGAGUUUCGAAAGAAACUCGCCGGCGGAUUUUGUUUCUAUUUUUCCGGAUAAUUCAUGCAUCUAUUACUAGUUUUGAUUGCGUGUAUAGAUUCCUGGUAGCCUAAUCUUCAAAUCUGCACUUUAUGGAUGAGUUUGGAGGUCGGGAGAAGAAUUCCGGCGACUUUCCGGCGACUGGUGGGGGUGCCACUGCAAAAGUGCAGUUUGGUACCCCAACUUUUAAAGAUGAUGAAGUUUUUGUACUCAGGUUUUGAAACUUGUGAAUUACCCCCUGUAACUUUGAAAAGUUGCACUUUAAACCCUGGACAAAACUUUCAAAAGUUUACAAAAUAAACCUUUUGAUUUAAUUUUCUAAAAUUGUUUUAUUUUAUUAUUUUAAAUUCCAAAAAUAGUUUUUAAUUAUUUCUUUAUUUCAAAAAUAAAUCUAAAUUGAUUUAUUAAUUAAUUUUAAUUAGUAAUUAAUUAUAUAAUUGGUCAAUUAAUUUAAAUAUUAAUUGAUUAAUUAUUUUAAUUAAUUAUUAAUUGAUUUUAAUUGAUUAAUUAAUUGGAUUUAAUUAAUCCUUUUUGAUUUAAAAAUUCCGAAAAAUAGUUUCGAGCUUUAAAAUAUUUUUCCAAAUUAUUUUCAAGGCUCGAUAAUUGUUUAUGAAUGAUUUCAAGUCCAAUUUCAAGUAUUUGGGACUUGAUUAUUUAUCCGAAAAGUGAUUCUUUUAUCGAUUUUAAUUCCGAAAAAUGUUUAAAAAUUCCAGAAAAUUCCCGAAAAAUCAUUUUUAACCCAAGAGUUGAUUUGAUAUCAAUUGGGGUGGGAAACCUUAUGUGUAAUGUGUUGUCUGCUAUCUGUUUGAUGUGUUAUGUGCCGAUAGAGGAGUUAGAAAACGGUUUUGAUCAUAACUUUUGAUCCGUAAGUCGGAAUCAAGUGAAACGAAAGAGAGACAGAAGCUUAUAAAGUCUAGUUUGAUAUGACAUAAUAUUAUGAUGGAGUCGAGAAUCUGAAUAAUUUUUGUUAAAUGUGCAAAAUGUGAUUAUAUGUUAUUUGGUUGCUAUUAACUAAUGACUACGUGAUAUACAUGUUUAUUCAUGAUAGUAUAUGCGUGUGAUAAAUGAUUUGGAUGACAUAGUGUCGUGAGUUGAUUGAUAUUGGAUAAGAAUAUAUGGAUUAUAGUGAUUGGAUCUUGUUGGUUGAUUGUUGAUUGAGAUAGGAUAACAGGUGGAUAGUCUAAUAAAUAGACGAGACGAUGUCGGAUUUUCGAUAGGAUUCAUAUGAUAAGUGAUUGGUAAUAUGUUAUGUGGAAUAUGACUUGACUAUAUGGUAGAGUCAAAGCAUGAUUACGUGUUAAGUGAUAUGUGAUAAGUUUAAAGGGGUAUAUAAGUGGGUAUCGAUAUACGUGAUAUGUAUAUGCGAUAUAUUGUUUAGUGACUAUAGUAUUAUCUUAUUCUCGUAAAGGAUUUGGACGAGACGUGUACGCUCGAAGACGUCAGAAAGUCGGAAUGGUAUUGCAAAGCGAAUAAGGGAUGAAUCGAGUAAGCGAAGCGAAGUGGCGAAUAGAGUAUAGCUAGAGAUGGUCUAGAGAUUACGAGAUGCAUAGAUUGUGAAAGUUGAAAGAUGAGGUUGAGCUGUGAAACUGGAGUCAGAUUUAAGGCAAGUAUCCUAAACCUUUCUCUUGGAUAUAUUGCAAAUAUUCUGAUCCAUUCCUUUGGUAUAUGUUUCAAGUAUUCAUACCUUUCUUUUCAAUGUUCUUCUGACCCAUUCUUUCUAAUCUUCAAGUUUCUAAAGAAUUUCCGUUUUACAAAUUAAUUCGAAGUUCAGAUUGUCAUUGAAGCAUGUGUUGCUCAGUGGUAGUUAGAGCUUUGAAUGAAUUGGGAUCUUCUUGAUUAUUCAACCCGCCAUUGUCAUGCUGGUUUAGCAGGCUAAAUUCAGUAAACUUAGCCGAUAAUGGAGGAUACUGAAUAGUUAGGGAUUUCCUGCGAUAAUGGAGGAUACUGAAUAGUUGAGGAUUUCCUGAACUGUGAUUUAUGAAAUGAUGGAUCAUGAUUUAUGAAUAGAUUAUUAUCAAAGUUUGAAUUGGAAUUAUUCUGUUGUUGAUAAUAUUUAUGAUGAUGUUCUGUUAAUUUACAUUGGCUUCUUGAAUUGAAUUAGAGAAUUGGAUUAUUGUUUUUAUAUACUCAUUGAUAUUGAUUGGGUUUAUGUUCUGUUGACCUGUUAUCGAAUUAGAGAAUUGGAUUAUUGUUUUUAUAUAAAUCUGUGGACCAGAUGAGUGGUCAUGUUAGGCCAAUGAGUGCCUUGGAUCCAGUGAUAGAGCAUGGCGGGGCCUGCUCGGGGUUAGUGCGGAACUGAUCAGCUGCCUAACCUUGGUUUUAAUUAAAAUGUGAUAGUCCAAUUCAAUAAUUCUUUGGAAAGAUUGAAUUUCUCAGUUUAAAUGCUGCAAGGUAUUGUAAAUCAUUCUAUACAAUACCAUGAACUCAUGAACUCAGGUUGAAUCCUCUUAUAUCUUGAACUCGUGAACUUCUGUUAUAUCAUUUCAGAACUAUCAUUGUUUAUUAUUACUUGCUGAGCAUUGUUGCUCACCCUUGCUAUUCCUUUCUAACCAUUUCAGAAAGGCUUAAAGAUGAGAUGAUUGAUUGAGAUUGUGAGUAAGGCUAAUGCUAGGCGAGGAGACAGAGUUGAGGAUCCAGUGGUCGAGGAGUGUUCAGGAAAGUUGAUGAGGUUGGUGCAAGCUAGAGCUGUGCUAUAGAGAUUCAAGUGUAAGUCAUAGCUGGAAUAGUUGACAGUGAUUCUUCUUAUCGAAGAUGAUCUGAUUUGGUAAGAGAUGUUGUGUAAUAAUAGUGGUAGAUUCUAAUUUCAAUACUGUAACCUGGAUGCGAUCCUGUUGCUUUUAGGGGGUUUAAAUGUUCUCUUUCGAAUCAUUUAUUAAAGUUUAAAUGUUCUCUUGAAAUUCUCCUAUUAUGGCUUUCAAGUUUGAAAUUCAGGUUUUGAAAUCAUUCGAUUUAUGUUCUCAUUCAAAUCUUUUAUUAAAUGUUUUCAGGUUUUAAAUUCUCUGAUUUUAUUAUCUUUAAAUAAAAAAAUAAAAAAAAAAUUUACAGGUUUUCGAAAGUGUUUUAAAAAGGUUUUUAUUUGCAAAUAAGGAUAAUGCUAGGCGAGGAGACAGAGUUGAGGAUCCAGUGGUCGAGGAGUGUUCAGGAAAGUUGAUGAGGUUGGUGCAAGCUAGAGCUGUGCUAUAGGGAUUCAAGUGUAAGUCAUAGCUGGAAUAGUUGACAGUGAUUCUGCUCACCCUUGCUAUUCCUUUCUAACCAUUUCAGAAAGGCUUAAAGAUGAGAUGAUUGAUUGAGAUUGUGAAUAAGGCUAAUGCUAGGCGAGGAGACAGAGUUGAGGAUCCAGUGGUCGAGGAGUGUUCAGGAAAGUUGAUGAGGUUGGUGCAAGCUAGAGUUGUGCUAUAGGGAUUCAAGUGUAAGUCAUAGCUGGAAUAGUUAACAGUGAUUCUUCUUAUCGAAGAUGAUCUGACUUGGUAAGAAAUGUUGUGUAAUAUUAGUGGUGGAUUCUAAUUUCAAUACUGUAACCUGGAUGCGAUCCUGUUGUUUUAGGGGGUUGAAAUGUGCUCUUUCAAAUAUUUUAUGAUGGCUUUUAUAGGGGACACAAGGUAUACCUGUCUGUGUGAUAGGAGUUGGAUGGGACGCCAUCACUUGUGUGUGUUGUGAUUACAAGAAGGUUAACAACCUUUAGUAGUGUCUAAUAUGGACACGCAACAUUAAGUUCAUUUGAUCGUAUGGAUCUCCCAGUCACUCUUGUAUUCCAAUGUGGCGUAUUUUGAAAAUAUCUUGUUCCUCCGAAAUUUCCAAAAGAUUGAUUCUUGGGAAAUGAAGUUUGCAAUUGUAAAAGUUUUGAUUCUCCUAUUUCUUUAACUGUAAAGGUAUGCCAAGGUUGAUUAAGGGCGGAUGAGCAUGUGAUAUUAUGAAGUGUGUACAAUGAUUUUACAAAUGAUACGUUUUAGUUUUUUCGCGGAUUCCGAGGGCGGAAUCCUUAUAAGGGGGGAAGAAUGUAAUAUCCCAUAUUAUUAAAUUUAGAUUUGAUUAUUAUAAAUCUAUUUGUCUAAAUAUAAUUGUUGGCUUUAAUGGAAUAGUGAUCUGAUUAUGUGAAUAGUGUGUAUGUGAUUAUAUUUGUUAUGUGGAUCAAUAUGGAUUAUACUAAUUAUGCGUUCUCCUUCUUUCUCUGAUUCCGAGGACGGAAUCCCUAUAAGGAGGGUAAAUUGUAAUGACCCGGAUUUUUAAAAAUAUUUUUAUUAGUAUUAAAAGUGAUUUUCUUCAAAGAAGGGAAUAAGAUUUAAUAUUUUAUUCCAGUUUAAGGAGUUUUCAAAAUUUUAUAUUAAACCCCGGGUUAUUGUGUUAGUGAUAAAUGAUUAUAUUUUUAAAACUGAUUUUCAUAUAUUGUUUCGAAAAUUCUGUAUGAAUAUUAUGUGAAUAUAUGUGUGAUGUGAGUAAGUGGUAUUGGUCGAUUUGUUGGUUAAUUAAUUAUGGUUAAUUAUUAAUAUUAUAUGAUUAAUAUAUGAAUUUUUGUGAAUUUUGUAUUAUCUAGUUUACAGAGCUGAAUGCUCAUAUGUGUUCGUAUUUGAGAGAUUUCAAUUUCUAUAUGUUCAGGAGAAAAUAUAGUUUAGUUGGAUAUUUUCAUAUCGAUUUAUGGAAUGUUAGAUGAUUUUAUAAUCGAUUUACGGAUUUAAUUGCGUAUAUUUAUAUUUAUUUAUUAAUUAUUUGACUUCCGUAAAACCGUCCACUCGUAACGAUGUAGCAAAUUUUCUUCCCGAAAGUUUCAACAAAACUGACCUUUAGCCUAAUUUGAAUAUUCCGGACACUUUUCGUGUUUUGACUUUUUCGAUCCGGAGUACGGUUUUCCCCGGAGUCGGUCCGGCGGAGUUUUUCGGGUAUUUUAAUUGUUGAUAAUUAUCCAGUUUGUCUCGAUAAACGUGAAACGAGAUAUUUUGAUUAUUAUACUCAUCCUUAUCUUGUAAUAAUUGCAAUGGGACCCGCAGACCAAUAAUUGAGUUAAAAAGCCCCGUUUUGAUGAUUAUCUUGAAAACCAGUACCGAUUGGACCCCGCUUUAUUAAUAUAAAGCUAUUAAAUACGUAUUUUCAUGUCAUAUACGAUCCAAAGGGGUACCAAUUAUUUGUAAAUAUAAAUAGACCUUUCUAGAGCUUAUUUUCACCCGUAAAAUCAUUUCACCAGUUUCUUUCCACGAAUACCGAGAGAAACCGAGCGGUGUUCUUCGUGUUCUUCAUAAUCAAACGAAGAUUUGAAGGUGUUAUUGGAAUCCGAUGGAGGCGUAUAAAUAGUCAAAACGAAGCUCUUGACGAGUAGAAUCUAGUAUAAUCAUCCGUUUAUAUGCAGAUUGAACAGGUGAUUUUAUUUGAUUUUUAUAAAAUUCGAAUUAUUAAGAUUUAAAUAGUGGAUUUUUGCAAACGUGUUUGUUUGAUUGUUUUGAUGAUUCCAUGUUGUAGUACAUGUUUUUCUCGUCGUUUUGGUAUAUUAUAUGUUGAAUUUCGAGUUCGGAAUCAUAUAGAAAAGUCAGUUUGAUUAUUGGGUUGUGUUCUUGAGUGUUCUUGAAGGUUUGCAAUCGAUUUUGGGGGUUUUUAAUCUGUUAAAUCUGGAUGUUAUUCGAAGGCACCAACACGUUUAGUGCACUGAGUAGAGUUGAUUGGUAGCUUCAGAUUGAGUGGAGGUGGUCGGAGGAGGCCUUGCCGGAGUCCGGCAGUCGAGAAUGAAGGAUGGAAAUCCGGCCAUUUGGCCUCGUUUCUUCAAAUUUUAAGCUGUAGAAUGAGUUUGUGGUGGUGUAUUUAUGGUAUCUGGAGUUGCUGGUGAUUAACGGAGGCCGGGAACAGUAGUUCCGGCGAGUCAAGGGGGCGGCGAUGGAAAAUUUCCAUUUAGCCCCCAGACUUUUGAAGAUGGUGAAGUGUGUGUAUCAUGGUUUCAAAACUUACACAACGGCCCCUGUAACUUUGAAAAGUUACAGUUUAAACCUUGGGCCAAAACUUUCAAAAGUUUACAAAAUAAACCUUUUGAUUUAAUUUUCUAAAAUUGUUUUAUUUAAUUAUUUUAAAUUCCAAAAAUAGUUUUUAAUUAUUUCUUUAUUCAAAAAUAAAUCUAAAUUAGUUUAUUAAUUAAUUUUAAUUAGUAAUUAAUUAUUUUAAUUGGUCAAUUAAUUUAAAUAUUAAUUGAUUAAUUAUUUUAAUUAAUUAUUAAUUGAUUUUAAUUGAUUAAUUAAUUGGAUUUAAUUAAUCCUUUUUGAUUUAAAAAUUCCGAAAAAUAGUUUCGAGCUUUAAAAUAUUUUUCCAAAUUAUUUUCAAGGCUCGAUAAUUGUUUAUGAAUGAUUUCAAGUCCAAUUUCAAGUAUUUGGGACUUGAUUAUUUAUUCGAAAAGUGAUUCUUUUAUCGAUUUUAAUUCCGAAAAAUGUUUAAAAAUUCUGGAAAAUUCCCGAAAAAUCAUUUUUAACCCAAGACUUGAUUUAAUAUCAAUUGGGAUGGGAAACCUUAUGUGUUGUGUGUUGUCUGCUAUUGGUUGGAUGUGUUAUGUGCCGAUAGGAGAGUGAGAAAACUGUUUUGAGCAUAACUUUUGAUCCGUAAGUCGGAAUCAGGUGAAACGAAAGAGAGAAGGAAGCUUAUAACGUCUAUUUUAAUAUGAUGUGACUAUAUGGCUGAGUCUAUAAGGUGGAUAAUUGUUGAUAAGUAUGCAGAAUGUGAUAAUAUGUGAUCUAAGUGCUAUCAAGUGAUGAUUAUGUGAAGUACGUGUUAGUUUUGAUAUUGUGAAGUGAUAAAUGAUUCGUAUGAUUGAUAUUGGAUAAGAAUAUAUGGAUUAUAGCUAUUGGAUUUUGUUGGUUGAUUAAUGAUUGAGAUAGGAUAAUAGGUGGAUAGUCUUAUACAUAGACGAGACGAUGUCGGAUUUUCGAUAAGGAUUUAUAUGAUAAUUGAUUGGUGAUAUGUUAUGUGGAAUAUGAUUGACUAUAUGUUAGAGUCAAAGCAUGCUUAUGUGUUACGUGGUAUCUGAUAAGUUUAAAGGGGUAUAUAAGUGGGUAUCGGUAUACGUGAUAUGUAUAUGCGAUAUAUUGUUUAGUGACUAUAGUAUUAUCUUAUUCUCGUAAAGGAUUUGGACGAGACGUGUACGCUCGAAGAGGUCAGGAAGUCGAAAUGGUAUUGCAAAGCGAAUAAGGGAUGAAUCGAGUAAGCGAAGCGAUGUGGCGAAUAGAGUACGGCUAGAGAUGGUCUAGAAAUUAUAAUAUGGAUAGAUUGUGAAAGUGGAAACAUGAGAUAGAGAUGUGAGACUGGAGUCAGAUUUAAGGCAAGUAUCCUGCACCCUGCUUUUGGAUAUAUUGCAUAUUCUGAUCCAUUCUUUUUAUAUGUGUUGCAAGUAUCCUAAACCUUUCUCUUGGAUAUAUUGCAAAUAUUCUGAUCCAUUCCUUUGGUAUAUGUUUCAAGUAUUCAUACCUUUCUUUUCAAUGUUCGAAAGUGCGAGUAUUCUGACCCAUUCUUUCUAAUCUUCAAGUUUCUAAAGAAUUUCCGUUUUACAAAUUAAUUCGAAGUUCAGAUUGUCAUUGAAGCAUGUGUUGCUCAGUGAUAGUUAGAGCUUUGAAUGAAUUGGGAUCUUCUUGAUUAUUCAACCCGCCAUUGUCAUGCUGGUUUAGCAGGCUAAAUUCAGUUGCUUAGCCGAUAAUGGAGGAUACUGAAUAGUUGAGGAUUUCCUGAACUGUGAUUUAUGAAAUGAUGGAUCAUGAUUUAUGAAUAGAUUAUUAUCAAAGUUUGAAUUGGAAUUAUUCUGUUGUUGAUGAUAUUUAUGAUGAUGUUCUGUUAAUUUACAUUGGCUUCUUGAAUUGAAUUAGAGAAUUGGAUUAUUGUUUUUAUAUAAACCUGUGGACCAGAUUCGUGGUCAUGUUAGGCCAAUGAGUGCCUUGGAUCCAGUGAUAGAGCAUGGCGGGGCCUGCUCGGGGUUAGUGCGGAACUGAUCAGCUGCCUAACCUUGGUUUUAAUUAAAAUGUGAUAGUCCAAUUCAAUAAUUCUUUUGGAAAGAUUGAAUUCCUCAGUAUUCAAUUGCUGCAAGGUAUUGUGAUUUUCUUAUACAAUACCUAAACUCGGAACUCAGGUUGAAUCCUUUUAUAUCUUGAACUCGUGAACUUCUGUUAUAUCAUUUCAGAAUUUUCAUUGUUUAUUAUUACUUGCUGAGCAUUGUUGCUCACUCUUGCUAUUCUCUUUUAACCAUUUCAGAAAGGAUUAAAGAUGAAUGGCUAGACUAUGAUUGCGAGUAAGGCUAAGGCUAGGCGAGGAUUCAGAGUUGAGGAUUCAGUGGUCAAGGAGUAUUCAGGAAG